UUAAAAAGCUCGUAGUUGGAUUUCUGUUAAUAAUUUAUAUAUAAUAUUUUUAAUAUUUAUAUAAUAUUAACAUAAUUCAUAUUACUAUAUUUUAGUAUAUGAAAUUUUACUUUGAGAAAAUUAGAGUGCUUAAAGCAGGCAUAUGCCUUGAAUACUCCAGCAUGGAAUAAUAUAAAAGAUUUUUAUCUUUUUUAUUGGUUCUAAGAUAAAAAUAAUGAUUAAUAGGGACAGUUGGGGGCAUUUGUAUUUAACAGUCAGAGGUGAAAUUCUUAGAUUUGUUAAAGACAAACUAGUGCGAAAGCAUUUGCCAAGGAUGUUUUCAUUAAUCAAGAA
rnacentral:rRNA from 1 species